UACGUAGGGCAAGCGUUGUCCGGAAUUACUGGGCGUAAAGCGCACGCAGGCGGAAUUGUAAGUCCGUUGUAAAAUUCAGAGGCUCAACCUCUGUCUGUCGGCGGAUACUGCAAAUCUAGAGUAUGUGAGAGGGAAGUGGAAUUCCUGGUGUAGCGGUGAAAUGCGUAGAUAUCAGGAGGAACUCCGGUGGCGAAGGCGACUUCCUGGCACAAGACUGACGCUCAUGUGCGAAAGCUAGGGUAGCGAACGGGAUUAGAUACCCG
rnacentral:rRNA from 1 species